CCUGAGUGCUAGGGGUCGUUUAGGGGGCGUCCAUGCUGCUCAUAAUGGCUCCUAAGUCGGUUAAAACAGCAAACAGUGCUUAUGUCCGCUUUUUCUGUAUCUGGGAGGCUGACGCGACCUGCAUAAGGGUCCUCUUAACCUUUACGCGGCCCGUCUGAAUCCUUUUGUCAGAGCCCAUAUCUUCCACUGUCAGCGCGGCCCGCGUAAGGCCCUUUGCAACCUUUACGCGGCCCGCCUGAGGCCUGCUGUAAGAUUUUCAAAUCUUUUUCAAUUAUUACCGUCGGCUCUUGGUGUUUCGAAGGGGUAACUUUGCGUUUUGGGCCUUUCUUAUUUACGAAUAAGGGCCUCGGGACUUUUACCCAACUUAUUAAGCCCUCGGUUAGUUUACAACUACCCGAAAAGUCCUAACUUUCAAUGUUGACGCUUUUAGCGCUUCUUAAACGAAUUCGAUCAUAACUUCCUCAUAUGGUAACGGAACGUGAUGAAAUUUAUAUCGCGUAUUAUAGUGAGUAUAAUUUACUAUUACAAAGCCUCGGGUAUGCCAAAGGGUCACUCAGAGGUAUGACUUAAACAUGUUGACACAUUUGGCCCCUGUAGUUUGUAAUUCCUCACUUUCUUCCACAUUUCGUUCCGUAUGAUCCAUGAUUCAUUCGUUUGAAGGUACGAGCAUCUUGUAGGGUCACUGUAAAGUAUAUUUAUCCCUCGUUGACGUUUUGAACCCUUAAAUUCACAUACUUUCUAUGUUUGUCAACUUUAGUCCUUCUUUAGUAUUUAUUACCACGUGCAAACCUAUGACACGUGUCAAUACAUUAUAGGACGCAAAUUUCCGAGGUGUUACAUCCUCACCCCCUUAAAAGAAAUCUCGACCUCGAGAUUUAUUGAAACAAAUGAGGGUACUUUUCUUUCAUUGUGGAUUCUACUUCCCACGUGUACUCGGGACCUCUACGGGCAUCCCAUUUUACCUUCACAAUCGGUAUGUACUUCCUUCAAAGCUUCUUAACCUGUCAAUCCUCGAUCGACACCGGUUUUUCAACAAACUUUAAGCUCUCAUCGAUGUGUACAUCUGUAUGCGGUAUAACUAGUGAUUCAUCAGCGAAACACUUCUUUAAAUUGCAGAUGUGGAACACAUUAUGAAUACUACUGAGCUCUUCCGGUAAGUUUAACUUAUAGGCAACCGAUCCGACACGUUCGAUUACCUCGAAGGGUCCAAUGUAUCUCGGGCUCAAUUUGCCUUUCUUACCGAAUCGCAUCACUCCCUUCCAGGGUGAUACUUUAAGCAAUACCUUGUCACCUACUUCGAAGUUAAAAGGUUUACGCUUCAAAUCUGCGUAGCUCUUCUGCCUAUCUCGGGCAGCUUUCAAUCGGUCACGAAUCUGGACAAUCUUGUCCGUCGUUUCAAAAAUUAUAUCAGGUCCUGUCAUCUGGACAUCUCCAACUUCUGCCCAACAAACGGGCGUUCUACACUUUCUACCGUACAAGGCUUCGAAAGGCGCAACCUUAAUGCUCGUAUGGUGGCUAUUGUUAUAUGAGAACUCGACUAAUGGUAGGUGGUUAUCCCAACUACCACCUAAAUCGAUCACACAUGCACAAAGCAUGUCUUCCAACGUUUGGAUUGUACGCUCACUCUGUCCGUCUGUCUGAGGGUGGUAAGCCGUACUGAAGUUUAGCUGUGUGCCCAAAGAUUGU
rnacentral:rRNA from 1 species